rnacentral:rRNA from 1 species
AACUCGUAAGAGAGAAGUAUAAGGUAGUGACGCCUGCCCGGUGCUCGAAGGUUAAGAGGAUGCGUCAGUCGCAAGAUGAAGCGUUGAAUUGAAGCCCGAGUAAACGGCGGCCGUAACUAUAACGGUCCUAAGGUAGCGAAAUUCCUUGUCGGUUAAAUACCGACCUGCAUGAAUGGCGUAACGAGAUGGGAGCUGUCUCAACCAGAGAUUCAGUGAAAUUGUAGUGGAGGUGAAAAUUCCUCCUACCCGCGGCAAGACGGAAAGACCCCGUGGACCUUUACUACAACUUAGCACUGCUAAUGGGAAUAUCAUGCGCAGGAUAGGU